UACGUAGGGGGCAAGCGUUGUCCGGAUUUAUUGGGCGUAAAGAGCUCGUAGGCGGUUUGGUAAGUCUGUCGUGAAAGCCCCGGGCUCAACCUGGGAAUGGCGAUGGAUACUGGCUCGCUAGAGUGCGGUAGAGGAGAGUGGAAUUCCCGGUGUAGCAGUGAAAUGCGUAGAGAUCGGGAGGAACAUCAGUUGCGAAGGCGGCUCUCUGGACCAGCACUGACACUGAGGCACGAAAGCGUGGGGAGCAAACAGG
rnacentral:rRNA from 1 species